AUUGAACGCUGGCGGCAGGCCUAACACAUGCAAGUCGAGCGAGCGGCGGACGGGUGAGUAAUGUAUGGGGACUGCCCGAUAGAGGGGGAUAACUAUUGGAAACGGUAGCUAAUACCGCAUACUAUCGGAUAACCCAUAUGGGAUUAGCGAGUAGGUGAGGGAAUGGCUCACCUAGGCGACGAUCCCUAGCUGGUCUGAGAGGAUGAUCAGCCACACUGGGACUGAGACACGGCCCAGACUCCUACGGAGGCAGCAGUGGGGAAUAUUGCGCAAUGGGGGCAAGCCUGAUGCAGCCAUGCCGCGGGUAUGAAGAAGGCCUUAGGGUUGUAAAGUUCUUUCGGUAGCGAGGCGUUAACGACAGAAGAAGCACCGGCUAACUCCGUGCCAGCAGCCGCGGUAAUAC
rnacentral:rRNA from 1 species